rnacentral:sRNA from 1 species
GCUGGUGCUUUAAAAUAGAUUACAGGUUUUCCUGGGCGGUAAUAACGCGGUUGCAAGGCGUAAUUGCCGUUUACAUA